rnacentral:rRNA from 1 species
CCUACGGGAGGCAGCAGUGAGGAAUAUUGGUCAAUGGACGAGAGUCUGAACCAGCCAAGUAGCGUGAAGGAUGACUGCCCUAUGGGUUGUAAACUUCUUUUAUAUGGGAAUAAAAUGUUCCACGUGUGGGAUUUUGUAUGUCCCAUAUGAAUAAGGAUCGGCUAACUCCGUGCCAGCAGCAGCGGUAAUACGGAGGAUCCGAGCGUUAUCCGGAUUUAUUGGGUUUAACGGGAGCGUAGGUGGAUUGUUAAGUCAGGUGUGAAAGUUUGCGGCUCAACCGUAAAAUUGCAGUUGAAACUGGCAGUCGUGAGUACAGUAGAGGUGGGCGGAAUUCGUGGUGUAGCGGUGAAAUGCUUAGAUAUCACGAAGAACUCCGAUUGCGAAGGCAGCUCACUGGACUGCAACUGACACUGAGGCUCGAAAGUGUGGGUAUCAAACAGGAUUAGAUACCCCAGUAGUC